AGCGCUGCUGGGCGGCCGGCGCUGGGACAGGAGGAGUAGAGCUGCUCCUCGCAGGCUGACCGCGGCGGGUACAUCGCGUCAUGGUGGAAAGUGCCCUCUCGCCUCUGGCUGCCGUAAUAUUCCGGCGAGUGACUGGGAAGCUACAGAAGAACUAAUUGUCCCAUGUCUGAUGUAUGCCAUUAAAGUGAGAGAAACGAUGAAAAAUGCAAAGGAAAAUCCCCGCCUACCUGCACGAGUUUCCCUUUGUGUAUGGAAUGGACCCAAACUUACGUAGAUCUGCUUUAUUGACCCUUAUUUUCGAGGCCGCCGCGAGCUGCCCUCUCCGAAGAAACCACCCACAUAAUAAUGACCCUGGAGAGCAACGCAAAACCCAACUGGCUUCCACACAAACUUCACCAAAUGACGGGGCUCGCCUGAGGAGCAGGCGAACUGGCAAAAGCUUCUGUGAGGGGAGAAAAAAUAAACCACCACAACGACCCACAAAGGGUUUGGUAUUUUUUUAAAGGCAGUAUCUAAAAGCCUCCACCACCAAGCUCCUGCAAAAUCCUUCACUCCAAGUCUACUAUCUCCAGGUGACCUUAAAGGCUUUAUUUUUCCUUCUUACUCCAAUGUUUUAUUUUUCCUUUUCUUCCUUAUUUCCUUUCUUAUUUUAAUCCUCUGUUUCUUUCUUAAUCUCUCUCCCCCCCCCCCUUAUUUCUUUCUAUUUUCUUCCUCUAUUUCUUCCGUUCAUUCUCUCUCAAUGUGUCUACCUUUUCCCCAUCCCUUUUUUUCUCUCCCUUUCACCUUUACACUACGCUUUUCAAGGAAAAUUGUCACUUAUACAGAUUUCCACCAUCUCUGAUUUCUUAAAGUGCCUCCCUUCUUCAUCACCCCACCCUUUUCUUUCUCCCCCACCCCUGAAUAGAGGAUAUGUGGAAUGGAAUAGAAAAGGCAGCUUAACAAAUGCAUUUUCUCAAAGAAAAUAUUAAACGAAGAGAAGCGUAUUAUUCCCUUACCUUUUGACGUCCAUUUCUGUGGCAUAAGUAAAAUAGGGAGGGAGAGGGAGACAGCGUUUGCUUAUCUGUUAGCUGACAAAUAUUGUCCCAACCUGAGAGCCGUCGAUCGCCUCUCUGACUUGUGAGAGCUUCUUGCAUUUCUGUCAUUUGCAUAGAAAAUGGAGCAACUUCCCUCUUUGAAAAAUGAUAGCCUCCACUCGGUCCAGAACCUCCUCUGCCCCUCCAUGACUACCGAGAUUCCAGAUCAGCAGCAAAUUAAGAGAGGAAUUAAAAUAAUAAUAAAAAAUCAAAAUAAA